AUAACCACCUCCACCCCCAUCAAAACCGCCGCCGCCAUCACCACCUCCACCACCACCUCCAUCUCCUCCAUUGCCUCCAUCUCCACCUCCAAAACAAUCACCACAAUCACCACAAUCGCCACCAUCGCCACCAUCGCCACCAUCAACAUUUUUAUGACGCUUUUUCUCCUCAGGGUCAUCGGCGCAGUCUGCACAACCUAAGAUUAGCAUCAACAUAAUUGAUAGAGAUAUAACAAUCAUGCCAAGCAUGAACACAAACCCCAAACCAUCUGAGAAAAGACCUCCUUCACUUGCAGCACUGCCCCCAUUUCCAACAACAAAAUACCGAGCCAUGUUGAUUGAAAAAGGAUAAAUAUUGAGAGGACUCGACACCCUAUGCGUGUGUGUGUGUAGAGAGAGAGAGAGAGAGAGAGAGAAUUGUGGGGUUUUCAAAUUUUCUAUUUAAUUGCAUAUAUAUAUAUAUAGAGAGAGAGAGAGAGAGAGAGAGAGAGAGAGAGAGAGAGAGAGAGAGAGAGAUGAAU
rnacentral:lncRNA from 1 species